rnacentral:rRNA from 1 species
UACAGAGGUCUCAAGCGUUGUUCGGAUUCAUUGGGCGUAAAGGGUGUGUAGGUGGCGCGCUAAGUCGGGUGUGAAAUUUCGGAGCUUAACUCCGAAACUGCAUUCGAUACUGGCGUGCUUGAGGACUGGAGAGGAGACUGGAAUUCAUGGUGUAGCGGUGAAAUGCGCAGAUAUCAGGAGGAACACCCGUGGCGAAAGCGGCUCUCUGGGACGGAACUGACGCUGAGACGCGAAAGCGUGGGGAGCAAACAGG